GGGGUAUAGCGCAGUCUGGUAGCGCGGCUGCUUUGGGAGCAGGAUGUCGGGAGUUCGAAUCUCUCUACCCC
rnacentral:tRNA from 1 species